GAUGAACGCUGGCGGCGUGCUUAACACAUGCAAGUCGAACGGAAAGGCCCAAGCUUGCUUGGGUACUCGAGUGGCGAACGGGUGAGUAACACGUGGGUGAUCUGCCCUGCACUUCGGGAUAAGCCUGGGGAACUGGGUCUAAUACCGGAUAGGACCACUUCUUGGAUGUUGUGGUGGAAAGUUUUUUCGGUGUGGGAUGAGCUCGCGGCCUAUCAGCUUGUUGGUGGGGUAAUGGCCUACCAAGGCGUCGACGGGUAGCCGGCCUGUGAGGGUGUACGGCCACAUUGGGACUGAGAUACGGCCCAGACUCCGACGGGUGGGAGCAGUGGGAAAUAUUGCACAAUGGGCGCAAGCCUGAUGCAGCGACGCCGCGUGGGGGAUGACGGCCUUCGGGUUGUAAACUACUUUCGCAAGGGACGAAGCGUUUUGUGACGGUACCUGGAGAAGAAGCACCGGCUAACUACGUG
rnacentral:rRNA from 1 species